AGCUAGAUCUAGUCCUACUAUUAACCAAUGCAACUAUAUAAUCUAUGAUUCAAAACAUUAAUAUAAUCCUAGUAUAGGUGAUAGAACAGAUUAAUUACUUAGGCACGAUAGAGGUAGUACCGUGAGGGAACGUUGAAAGAUUCCAUCCUGUGAGCAAUAAAAAGCAAAGAUUAGCCCUUCUACCUUUUGCAUAAUGAGUUAGCUAGUCAACUCGGACAAAAAGAAUUAAAGCCCGCCUUCCCGAAAUUAAGUGAGCUAUUGUAGAACAGUUGUCAGAACGAACUCGUCUGUGUAGCAAAACAGUGAGAUGAUUUUACAAUAGGGGUGAAAGGCCUAUCGAACUUAAUGAUAGCUGGUUGUCCAAAAAGCGAAUUUUAGUUCAACUUUAAAUUUAAUUCAAGUACUAACAAACUAAACUUAAAUUUAAAUGUAAUUCAAAAGGGGGACAACUCUUUUGAUACGUAGACAAACUUACUUAGAGGUUAAUGACAAAGGUGUAAAACAUUGUAGGUUUAGAAGCAGCCCCCAUUUAAGAAAGCGUUAAAGCUCAAAUUAAACUAAAAUUUAAUCCCAACAAUACAUCAAAACCCUUAACCUAAUAUUGGACAAUUCUAUUAAUGUUUAGAAGAUAUAAUGUUAAUAUGAGUACCAUGAAUUUAUUCUCCUUGCACAAGCAUAAAUAUGGAUCGGACCAGCCGCUUACACUUAAACAAUCAAAUAAUUGAACCCACACACUAGAAUCUUAUAAUACUCAUUGUUAACCCAACCCAGGCGUGCAUAUAGGAAAGAUUAAAAGGAAUAAAAGGAACUCGGCAAACAUAAACCCCGCCUGUUUACCAAAAACAUCACCUCUAGCAUUUACUAGUAUUAGAGGCACUGCCUGCCCGGUGAGUCAUGACUUUAACGGCCGCGGUAUCCUGACCGUGCAAAGGUAGCAUAAUCAUUUGUCUCUUAAUUGGGGACUAGUAUGAAUGGCAUGACGAGGGUUUAACUGUCUCUUAUUCCCUAUCAGUGAAAUUGACCUUCCCGUGCAGAGGCGGGAAUAUUACUACAAGACGAGAAGACCCUGUGGAGCUUAAGUCUAACAACUCAACACAUACUUACAUUCAACCUUUGGGAAUAAAUUGUAUAAGCCCCUGAGUUGUAGUCUUUGGUUGGGGUGACCUCGGAGCACAAAACAACCUCCGAAUGAUUAUAACCUAGAUUUACGAAUCUAAGUGUAUUAAUACCAGUAAUUGACCCAUCUUUUGAUCAACGGAACAAGUUACCCCAGGGAUAACAGCGCAAUCCUAUUUGAGAGCCCAUAUCGAAAAUUAGGGUUUACGACCUCGAUGUUGGAUCAGGACAUCCAAAUGGUGCAGCCGCUAUUAAGGGUUCGUUUGUUCAACGAUUAAAGUCCUACGUGAUCUGAGUUCAGACCGGAGAAAUCCAGGUCGGUUUCUAUCUGUAAUUUUAUUUCUCCCAGUACGAAAGGACAAGAGAAAUGGGGCCAACGUCUCUGAUAAGCCCUAGAGCCAACAUAUGAAACCAUCUCAAUAUAAUAACUCAAAACCUGUUUUCUUUUUCCCCAAGAACAGGGU
rnacentral:rRNA from 1 species